rnacentral:rRNA from 1 species
UACAGAGGUCUCAAGCGUUGUUCGGAUUCAUUGGGCGUAAAGGGUGUGUAGGUGGCGCCGUAAGUCGGGUGUGAAAUCUCGGGGCUUAACUCCGAAACUGCAUUCGAUACUGCGGUGCUUGAGGACUGGAGAGGAGACUGGAAUUCAUGGUGUAGCAGUGAAAUGCGUAGAGAUCAUGAGGAAGACCAGUGGCGAAGGCGGGUCUCUGGACAGUUCCUGACACUGAGACACGAAGGCCGAGGGGAGACGAAA